GCCGGAUGGCUACACGUUCGUGCUCGCCAGCGUCGGAACGCACGCCCAGAGCCAGACGCUCUACAAGAAGCCGGCCUACAACUCAGCCGAAGAUUUCACCGCGGUCGCCUUCAUCGGCGAGACGCCGAUUGCCCUGACGGUGCGCAAGGAUCUGCCGGUCAAUAAUCUCAAGGAGUUCGUCGCCUACGCCAAGGAGAACCAGGCGAAGAUGUCCUUCGGUUCGGCCGGCGCCGGCUCGGCCACGCAUCUCGGCUGCGUCGUGCUCAACAUGGCGCUCGGCACCAACAUCACCCACGUGCCCUACCGCGGAACCGGUCCGGCGAUGCAGGAUCUGCACGGCGGACGUCUCGACUUCCUGUGCGAGAUCAUCAACACCGCCAAGCC
rnacentral:misc_RNA from 1 species